rnacentral:rRNA from 1 species
UACGGAGGGUGCGAGCGUUGUCCGGAAUCAUUGGGCGUAAAGGGCGCGUAGGUGGCCCGGUCAGUCUUUGGUGAAAGCGCGGGGCUCAACCCUGCGUCGGCCAGGGAUACUGCCGCGGCUCGAGCACUGUAGAGGCAGGCGGAAUUCCGGGUGUAGCGGUGGAAUGGGUAGAGAUCCGGAAGAACACCGGUGGCGAAGGCGGCCUGCUGGGCAGUUUAGCUGACACUGAGGCGCGACAGCGUGGGGAGCAAACAGG